UACGGAGGGUGCAAGCGUUAUCCGGAUUUACUGGGUUUAAAGGGUGCGUAGGUGGAUAAUUAAGUCCGUGGUGAAAUCUUCAGGCUUAACCUGGAAACUGCCAUUGAUACUAUUUAUCUUGAAUACUUUGGAGGUAAGCGGAAUAUGUCAUGUAGCGGUGAAAUGCUUAGAUAUGACAUAGAACACCAAUUGCGAAGGCAGCUUACUACACAGUAAUUGACACUGAGGCACGAAAGCGUGGGGAUCAAACAGG
rnacentral:rRNA from 1 species